rnacentral:rRNA from 1 species
AUUGAACGCUGGCGGCAGGCCUAACACAUGCAAGUCGAGCGGAUGAAGGGAGCUUGCUCCUGGAUUCAGCGGCGGACGGGUGAGUAAUGCCUAGGAAUCUGCCUGGUAGUGGGGGAUAGCGUCCGGAAACGGGCGCUAAUACCGCAUACGUCCUGAGGGAGAAAGUGGGGGAUCUUCGGACCUCACGCUAUCAGAUGAGCCUAGGUCGGAUUAGCUAGUUGGUGGGGUAAAGGCCCACCAAGGCGACGAUCCGUAACUGGUCUGAGAGGAUGAUCAGUCACACUGGAACUGAGACACGGUCCAGACUCCUACGGGAGGCAGCAGUGGGGAAUAUUGGACAAUGGGCGAAAGCCUGAUCCAGCCAUGCCGCGUGUGUGAAGAAGGUCUUCGGAUUGUAAAGCACUUUAAGUUGGGAGGAAGGGCAGUAAGUUAAUACCUUGCUGUUUUGACGUUACCAACAGAAUAAGCACCGGCUAACUUCGUG